CCUACGGGAGGCUGCAGUGGGGAAUAUUGCACAAUGGGGGAAACCCUGAUGCAGCGAAGUCGCGUGAGCGAAGAAGUAUUUCGGUAUGUAAAGCUCCAUCUGUAGGGAAGAAAAUGACGGUACGUGAGUAUGUAUCUCCGGCCAAAUACGUGCCAGCAGCCGCGGUAAUACGGAGGGAGCAAGCGUUAUCCGGAUUUACUGGGCGUAAGGGGAGCGUAGGGGGUCUUGCAAGUCUGAUGUGAAAUACUGGGGCUCAACCCCGGAGCUGCAUUUGAAACUGGGAGGCUGGAGUGUCGGAGAGGCAGGCGGAAUUCCUAGUGUAGCGGUGAAAUGCUUAGAUAUUAGGAGGAACACCGGUGGCGAAGGCGGCCUGCUGGACGAUGACUGACGCUGAGGCUCGAAAGCGUGGGGAGCAAACAGGAUUAGAUACCCGUGUAGUC
rnacentral:rRNA from 1 species